AGCAGCUGGGAAUGCAGCCUGGCUUCCCUUUUUGUCUCCCUACCUCAGAGAAAGCCUCCUGCUAAGACUUCAAAGAAGACGACUAUACUUCAAUGAUUUCCAGCUCCACUUUUUUCAAACUGUGCUGUCAGGAUGUGAAUUAAUACAGCUGAACUAUGUAGUGGAGAAUCGUCUUAUACAGCACCACACAAAUAAGAGUCAGAGAUUGAACGAUUUUUAAUACGUGAUAUUAUA
rnacentral:lncRNA from 1 species